rnacentral:rRNA from 1 species
AUUGAACGCUGGCGGCAUGCCUUACACAUGCAAGUCGAACGGCAGCACGGGGCAACCUGGUGGCGAGUGGCGAACGGGUGAGUAAUGCAUCGGAACGUACCUUUCAGUGGGGGAUAACGUAGCGAAAGUUACGCUAAUACCGCAUAUUCUGUGAGUAGGAAAGCAGGGGAUCGCAAGACCUUGCGCUGAUUGAGCGGCCGAUGUCAGAUUAGCUAGUUGGUGAGGUAAAGGCUCACCAAGGCGACGAUCUGUAGCGGGUCUGAGAGGAUGAUCCGCAACACUGGAACUGAGACACGGUCCAGACUCCUACGGGAGGCAGCAGUGGGGAAUUUUGGACAAUGGGGGCAACCCUGAUCCAGCCAUGCCGCGUGAGUGAAGAAGGCCUUCGGGUUGUAAAGCUCUUUCGGCCGGGAAGAAAUCGCACGGGCUAAUACCCUGUGUGGAUGACGGUACCGGAAUAAGAAGCACCGGCUAACUACGUGCCAGCCGCCGCGGUAAUAC